UACCCGAAGUUUGGAGUAUCUUCCAUUGUUUGCUGCCUAAGGUUGCCAAAUGAGUCUGGUGGCUUUGUAUUUUGGAGGCAUGGAUUGCUCUUCGGAAAAAAAGGAAAUCAACAAAUGGUGCUGAACUUGGUUAUCGGAAACCUUGGUCUCGAUUCUUGUUUCUCAAGCUGAUUUGGCACAUUCUGGUGGUGAAAUUUGCUAGCA